rnacentral:rRNA from 1 species
AUUGAACGCUGGCGGCAGGCCUAACACAUGCAAGUCGAGCGGAUGAAGGGAGCUUGCUCCUGGAUUCAGCGGCGGACGGGUGAGUAAUGCCUAGGAAUCUGCCUGGUAGUGGGGGAUAACGUCCGGAAACGGGCGCUAAUACCGCAUACGUCCUGAGGGAGAAAGUGGGGGAUCUUCGGACCUCACGCUAUCAGAUGAGCCUAGGUCGGAUUAGCUAGUUGGUGGGGUAAAGGCCUACCAAGGCGACGAUCCGUAACUGGUCUGAGAGGAUGAUCAGUCACAUCAGAACGACGAGACGUGCCAGACUCACAGGGAAGCAAGCAGUGGAGAAUACGGUCAAAGGAGCGAAAGCCGGAGUCGUGCAUGCUCGGUUGGUGAAGAAGGACUUCGGUUUGUAAAGCUCUUUAAGUGUGGAGGAAUGGCAGUACGUUAAUACUUGGCUGUUUUGACGUAAACAAAAGAAGCAGUACCAGCGAACUUCGGCCAAGCAGCAGUGGAAAUAAUCGGAAGAGAACAGGUCUGAA